GGAUGCUGUAAGCUAAACAGCCUUCCUCUACCCAAGUCCUUCCACCACGCCAUUUUACUUUGGAGCCAGCUCAUUACGGACUGAAAUUUCUACAAACUACUCAAAGUCUGCUGAGCUCUAGUAAUCCUCCUACCUCAGCCUCCCAUAGGAUUAUAGGGUCUUGCUAAAUUGUGCGGGCUGAGCUUGAAUUUGCAGUCUUCUUGCUUUGACCUUCCAGAGUGCUGCGAUUACAGGUACCGAUCCUGUGGCUUCAGUGACGACUCCCAGGAGGAGACUUACGAAUGAAAAUGGAGCAAGCAUCAGAAACGUCAAAAGAAAUUCCCCAAAACACUCAAGAAUCAAACAGAAAAGAAAACCAGGAACCAGGGAAGUUUUCAAGCCAGUUCAUUAAACCAUGGAGUGACCAGGAAAUCCAAAACUUCCUUGAAGAAUGGGAA